rnacentral:tRNA from 1 species
GUGAGGAUGGCCAAGCAGUCUAAGGUGCUGCGCUCAGGUUGCAGUCUCCCCUGGAGCCGUGGGUUCGAAUUCCACUUCUGACA